rnacentral:lncRNA from 1 species
UCACUGAAUGAAAAUAACCAUCACAUAACCAAAGAGUGCACAAACAGUGCCAUAGUCAUACAUCAACCAGAUAAAAUCAAAUACAAUCCUCCAGAAUAGGAAAGAAAUACAGACAAGUGAAUUCCGUCAACAAGCCUGACGGUAAUCCAACACAAAUGAAAGAUCUAACUGGAUGAGGGUCCCGCAGAUGGCCCUAUCUCAUCUUCCAUCCUCGCGAACUCUGCGGCGAACCUGAGCUCGGUAUUCUC